rnacentral:rRNA from 1 species
UACAGAGGGUGCAAGCGUUAAUCGGAAUUACUGGGCGUAAAGCGUGCGUAGACGGUUAUGUAAGUCAGGUGUGAAAGCCCCGGGCUCAACCUGGGAAUUGCAUUUGAGACUGCAUAGCUAGGGUGCGGAAGAGGGAAGCGGAAUUUCCGGUGUAGCGGUGAAAUGCGUAGAUAUCGGAAGGAACAUCAGUGGCGAAAGCGGCUUCCUGGUCCAGCACCGACGUUCAGGAAGAAAGCGUGGGGAGCAAACAGG